AAAUGUUUCAACAUUUUUUUUACAUGGGGAUUUAAAUUUUUGGAGGAGAUGUAUAAGGCAGAAAUCUGAUAUAGUAAAAUCUCUCUUACAUUAAAUUGCAGGUGUGGUAUAUUUGUGUCUUGCAUCAGCUCCCUAAAAUGUUUCUUGUGACUUAUCAUGAAUCAUGUUAUGUUACAGUGCCGUAUAUACAGUAGAGUACAUGUACAGUGUUUGAAAUGAACUAAAAGAAUAUUAUAAUUGAAUAAGUUAUAUAUAAUCAGCCCUCCUAAUCUGUGGUCCCACAUCUGUGGAUUCAACUAACUUUGGAUUUUUAAAAAAAUGUGUCUGUACUAAACAUGUAGACUUUUUUGCUUGUGGUCACUCUCUAAACAAUACGGUGCAACAGCUAUUUACAUAGCAUUUACAUCGUUAUAGGUAUUGUAAGUAAUCUAGAGAUGAUUUAGGUAUAGGGGAGGGUUUGCGUAGGGUUAUAUGCAAAUACUAUUUUAUAUCAGGGACUUGGAUCAUCAGCGGAUUUUGGUAUCCUGGGGGUGGGGGGAGUCCUGGAGCCAAUUCCCCCCACAAAGCCAGCGGGAUGACGCUAUACAGUCCUGCUGCUCACAUGACGACGCGAACACGUCCUGAGAAACGUGUCGCUAGGCAAUGUCACUGUGCAAACAUCAGAGCGUGCUCACCUUAACCUAGAUGGUACAGCCCACUACACACCCGGCUCCAUGGCACAGCCCGGCGCUCCUGCACUACCAGCCUGGACGGCACGCUGUCACUGCACCGAGUACCGUGGGCAACCGCAGCUCAAUGGAACUUCAGACAAAAGAAAUGAAAACAACCAGGCUGGCUGGAAAAUAAAAGGCAGCAGCACUGAAUGGGGGACAAAAGGAAGCUAGACAAUAGGGAGUUGGACAAAAGCAAUAAAGCCAAAGGAAGUGUGACAGGCGCACAAUGCCAGCCUGUGGGCCUCUGAUCCAGGGCUCCGCGCCACCUCGCCCACACCCACCCAGCCACCAGGUCCCUCCUCGCUCUGGACUUGGGUCCCAAGGGCUUUUCUCCCUCGUCCUGGCCCAACUUCACGGCCCUCCAGCUGCUACCUCAAAGCCUUUCUUGCGGACGACAGCCCAGAGACCCGAGCAGCAGCCAUGGACUCAGCCACGGCAGGGAGCACAGUCGGAUCGGGGAGCACGGUCCAACCACCGGGAGCACAGUCCGACCGACCACGGGGAGCACAGUCCGACCGACCACCGGGAGCACAGUCCGUCCGACCACCGGGAGCACAGUCCGACCAGGGAGCAUAAGGAGCUUAGCUGGAUGGCAGGGAGCAUUGUCAGACCACCGGGAGCACGGUCAGAUGAGCACAAGGUCUCCCCGUUGGAGACAGUGAACAACAUCUAUCCAUCCCUGGAGCUGAGGAUGGCAGCAGAGGUGAUCAUCCGUCCUAAUUAACUCUGGGACUGUAACUGCCCAAGACCGCAGCCACUCUCCACACGUGGCCGAUAUGCACCUGUAACGUAGCCAGUCCCAAUGGUUGUGUCCCGAGUGCAAAAUACACCCCAGCUUCCCACGGCUUACUACGCAGAACAGAACGUAAAAUAGCUCAUUAAUAACUGGUUAUUGAUUACAAGUUGAAAUGAUAUUUCGGAUAGGCUGGGUUAAAUAAAAUACAUUAUUAAAAUUCA